UGAGGAAUAUUGGUCAAUGGGCGCAAGCCUGAACCAGCCAAUCCGCGUGCAGGAAGACGGCCCUAUGGGUUGUAAACUUCUUUUAUAGUAGAAUAAAGUGAUCCACGUGUGGAUUUUUGUAUGUAUACUAUGAAUAAGGAUCGGCUAACUCCGUGCCAGCAGCCGCGGUAAUACGGAGGAUCCGAGCGUUAUCCGGAUUUAUUGGGUUUAAAGGGUGCGUAGGCGGAAUAAUAAGUCAGUUGUGAAAGUUUGCGGCUCAACCGUAAAAUUGCAGUUGAUACUGUUAUUCUUGAGUGUACAUAAGGUAGGCGGAAUUCGUGGUGUAGCGGUGAAAUGCUUAGAUAUCACGAAGAACUCCAAUUGCGAAGGCAGCUUACCGGGGUACAACUGACGCUGAGGCACGAAAGUGUGGGUAUCAAACA
rnacentral:rRNA from 1 species